rnacentral:rRNA from 1 species
UAACGCGUAAAGAACUUGCCUCACAGCUAGGGACAACAUUUAGAAAUGAAUGCUAAUACCUGAUAUUAUGAUUUUAAGGCAUCUUAGAAUUAUGAAAGCUAUAAGCACUGUGAGAGAGCUUUGCGUCCCAUUAGCUAGUUGGAGAGGUAACAGCUCACCAAGGCGAUGAUGGGUAGCCGGCCUGAGAGGGUGAACGGCCACAAGGGGACUGAGACACGGCCCUU